ensembl:lncRNA
AGCGGCUCGAGGAUAUGAGCAAUCCGCCGCGAGUCCACGUGCACGUUUUCUGUUUAAGCCUCGCAAAUCUGCAAGAUCCAGAGUAACAUAACACUUUGGCUCGAGGGAUUUAUUCCUCCAUCCAUCAGGAAUGUGGCAGAUGUUUAUCUAAAGUGCAUACGGGGAGGUGUACCGUGCCCUCUGACACGUGCAACCGAUGGCAUCCCGGCGCGUCUCGCCAAAAGUGCAAGUAUCCAUCCUUCUCCAGCGCCUCCGGUUGACUGUGUGUGCGUGUGUGUCACCACGGCGACGCACCGAGGCUCCGGUUAAUUAACCCGGAGGAGUGUUGCCACUUCUCGUCCGUUUUUACAUGUUUUCCUAACAGCUUGUUGGUGUGAAGGCUGUCGCCGAUGGACUGUCUCGCCUCCGUAGUCGGCGUAGCGUCACUGCAUUUAUGCUCACGGCUCUGGCUGUCCACCUCGGUCGGGCAGGAGAGACGCCGCGUCCCUCCUUCCUCAGACCACGUGCACUCACGUUGCCACGGACGACGACUCGAAACCCGCCAGGAAACCAGCACAUGAGGAGGAAACCGAGGCGGGUGGUGGCUGAUGGGACCCGUCCUCGUCUCCAUGGAGAUGUCGCCACGCGCAAACAGAAGGGGAGCUGCCGGCGGACUCGAAAAACAACUUCUGAGAAGGAACCCAGUGUGACAGCUUGGACCCGCGUUCUACAGCCACACACUUCUGCCUAAUAAUAAAGCCUCUCCAGUGUCAGAGAGGAUGAAAUCUUCACAACGCCCCCUCACUAUGAAGCUGUGCAAACAAAGCACUGGCUUGCCAGAAGCCAGGCGGAAAAAAACCCCCAUUAAUUCAACUUUUUCAAAUUUGAGCCUUGAUAUGCACACGCAAGGGAUGAUUAAUCAAUAUUUAGAAAUGUGGCAUGAAUAAGGAAAACAAGCUUAAUUAUUAGUCACCCAAAAUAAUUUCUUUGAAGUUUGUCUUCUCCAUGAUUGUUGUAAUUUAACAACCUAAAUUCCAGGUAAAUAAAAUGCAGCUUGGUUAAUGUUCUCCACAGAUCCCUUUCUAACCACGUACCCACCUUCACGCAACACCCACAUCAGCUCGUCCACGAUCUGACCCGUCUGUCUGUCCUAAAUCCCGUCCACCACAAAGACGAGGAGACACCUUCCAUACCACCGAUGCAGCGGACACGUGAAACGCGGAGGAGGAGCAAAGAGCGCGAAAACACUGGCGAGUGCAUCUACCAGCAGUCAACAGCGGUUACUGCAGACGUGACGCCGGUUCCACCAAACCUCACCUGACAACACGGCGUUCAGGCGGGAGAACGCGGCGUUUUCAGCCCUCAGAGUUCUCCCAUGAGCCCCGGGGGGGGGAGGGGGCAGAACGUCGUUACGGCCUGAGCAGAAACUCCGGCGCCGACAGCUGACAGACCGGCCGGAGCAGCAGAGCAGGACGUGUCUCCGGGUACAGCGAGAGGUACUCGACCCUCCCAGGGCGCGUUACUGCAGCGCACAAUAAGUCCGCUCAUGUCUCACCUGUCGCCUCGUAAUGAGCGUGGGAGGAAAGCUCCAGACCUUCUUCUCUAGAGGGUCGAGAUGUGACGGAUGGGAGCGUCCAGCCUCUCACAGCGUUGUGCUGAACCAGACGUGACUGGGAUCUUAAGCGUUACUUCUCUGGACUCAGUUGUGAUGGCUGCGUGUUAGAUGUGACAAUUACAAGCAGAACUUUAUAUGAAAUAGAUGAACUGUGGGUUAAAACAGUGAAACUAGGCGCUGGUCUGAGGACCAGGCCUCGUCUGUCAUCCACCCGAGCAGGUGGGAGGGAUGUCGGAACAGCACAGUAUCACUGAUCCAGGUUCUUAUGAACAAAAAAAUGAUUGAUCGCAAGACUGUGCAAAAGUUUAAUUAAAGAACAAUGUCACAUUCUGACUAAUGGCCUGUCUGAUGAAACCAUCUGCUUCGUGUCUAUUCAUUAACUUAGUUUAUUCAUAAUAACAAGCGUAUUCAAUUUUUUGUGGUCUUUUAUAUACUUUUUGUUCUAGUUUUGACACGUUCCGUUCUGUCGUCUUAUCUUAUUCAUUCCUUUUGAGGUUUGAAUCUUUAAUAAAAAAGGUCUCAUCUUCUCUGUCCUACACAUUGCAUAUUUUCUCGUCUGACUUGCUUUGAUCUUUUCUUUCUGUGCUUAUGAAUAAAUGCAUAUUAUAAAGCACGAGACAACAAGUACAACAUUUCUCAGUUUUAAUGUGUUUGAUGUUUGAUUGGUUGCCGACAUAAAUCCCGCCCAGAUCUCCACUAUUCCUGCCAGUUCACUUUGCAUUUCAAAAUGAGCUACCGCUAAAAGCUAAAAACUCCCUUUGCAUUUUUGAUGGGAAUGUGUACUUUGGGUGUUGGAUGUGGAUGUUAGCAAACUCCUCUCUGGUCCUCGUAAUACGUUUUCUUCUUACUCUCCCUUCGUGCCGCCUGCCAAGCGGCACCGUUGCAUCUUUCACUAGAGCAAAGUGUGUGCAGAACAGCCGAAUGGGAGACCGGCAUCGCUAUUUAAACUGUGAAAAACCCCAGAGGCAGGAUCAGCGUUCAGCAAAGUUCCAUCAGGUCCGUAUAUCAAAGAGCUGAGCGUCGCCGCUCGGGUUUACACUCAAAACUAAAUGAUGGUUUCUGCCGCUGUGAUGCUGUUUAUCCUUAAGGAUCAAGUGACUGCCAUCUAUUAGCUGCCACAUUAAUAUAGAACCUUAUUUAGAAUCUUUUACUGGACGUCUAAUUAACACAAUCACAUUACUGGACAUUAGCUCAGUCGCUGGUAAGCUGCCAUUUUCUACACAACUCACAUGAGACGUUUCGUCUGUCACAGGAAUUUUUAAUUACAUCAUUAUCUCGGC